rnacentral:lncRNA from 1 species
CACCAUACAAAUCAAAACGAUACUACUGCCUCUCUCGAUUCUUGAUCUUUGUUUUUUUUUUUUGGUUUUUUUUGGGUUCAGUCCGGAUUAACUUACAUUCUUCAAGGCCAGGCCUCCAAUCCAAACAACGUAUUCUACCCCAUAAAAAAAAUGGCACAUUUUGGUGCCUCUCCAACCUGUGUCAUCAUUGGAAUACUUUUCUUAUCACUAACUGCGGCAGCCCAAGAAGUCGCGUCUGCACCUAAGCCUGCCAUGGACGCAGGAAACGGGGACUCAGUCACGUUUUCAGCAGCAGUUUUUUGUCCCCUAUUGAUGGUGUCCUUGAUUGGCGCUCUGUUUCAUUGAUUUGUAGGGUUUUCUGUGAAGCAAGAAACGUUUUCAUACCACGUACUUGGACCUGGUUGAGGCCUUGAUCUUAUACCAUAUUGCUGUUCUGGGCUGUUGUUCAGGAUUUCUGCUACUAUUCUUGCGCUGUAAUAAUAGAGGAAUAUUCAUAUGAGUUGAUAUUUGGCUUGCGAUUUUCUACUAUGGAUUACAAUAACUGAUUACACCCAUGUAUCCUUCUUCUGGAAUACAAUCCUUUCAUUGCUUUCUUUAUAUUGAUGGCUGAGUCUAGUCCGGUCCCAUAUCAUUGAAAACUUCUAUUCUUAGUUUUGGAACAUGUUCAGCUGUCGUAUGCACUUUGAUAUUUUUUUUCCACCUUUCCUAGUGUAAAUUCUGUUUCCAUUUUUUUUUCCAAAUAAGCAAAAAUAAUAGAUCUGACUGUGUUUGGAUAUGUCAUCAGUUGAAAAAAAAAAUGUGUGCUUAUAUGAUAUGACAAACACGAUCUAUGAUCGCCGUUCUGUUUUACAUACGUCACGUCACAGGAAGUGUUAAAUUUCAUUUUUUAUUGGAUUUUUUUUUUUGCCAUUUAGC